UGGUUGGAGCCAGAUCCAACGCCUCAUAAGUUAACUCACUGGUUGUCAUCAAUCUCUGUCGACCGUUCUGCUUAUCUAACUUCUCGCAUUU
rnacentral:snoRNA from 1 species